rnacentral:rRNA from 1 species
GACGAACGCUGGCGGCAUGCCUAACACAUGCAAGUCUAGGGGUAGCAAUACCACUGGCGCACGGGUGAGUAACACGUAGGUUAUCUGCCCCCAUCACAGACAUAACCCCGGGAAACCGGGGCUAAUAUCUGAUGAGGUCGCGAGAUCAAAGCUUCGGCGGAUGGGGAUGAGCCUGCGGCUGAUUAGCUAGUUGGUGAGGUAAUGGCUCACCAAGGCGACGAUCAGUAGCUGGUCUGAGAGGACGAACAGCCACACUGGAACUGAGACACGGUCCAGACUCCUACGGGAGGCAGCAGUGAGGAAUAUUGGUCAAUGGGAGCAAUCCUGAACCAGCAAUGCCGCGUGUGGGAUGACAGGGCUUCGCCUUGUAAACCACUGUCGGACGGGACGAAAGGAGGCCUCGGGGCCUCUGGGACGGUACCGUCAAAGGAGGGUCGGCUAACUACGUGCCAGCAGCCGCGGUAAU